AUUUAGCCCCGAUUGCAGCGGAAAUCCUUUUUUUUCGGAGCGCAGCGGAGUAAAAAGAUUGCAGCGGAAAGCGGGACGAAAC
rnacentral:sRNA from 1 species